GUCGACCACUGAGCUAGAGAUAGAGGGGAUCAUCACUCCCACUGCUAAACCCUAAACCCAACGCCGCCAUGGCCGCCGCCGUCCGCCUCAUCCUGCGCCGCCGCCUCUCCACCGCUACCGCCACGCCCCCAACCCCGGCUUCCAUCCUGAACCCCUCCUCCCCGACCUCCGCUCUCACCUCGCGACAGAAGACCCGCCUCGCCAUCUCCCUCCUCAAGUCCUCCCCGCCGCCGCCGCCCGACCAGAUCCUCUCCAUCUGCCGCGCCGCUGCACUCUCUCCAAACACCCACCUCGACCGUGUUGCCCUCUCCCUCGCCACCUCGAGGCUCUCCUCCGCCCCGGACUCCCUCCGAGACCUUACAUCCUCCCUUCUCAUCCCCCACCACGCGCCCCACGCCAUCGCGCUCUUUGGCCAGGCCGGCCUCCUCCCCGACGCCAUUUCCACCUUCCAGUCAUCCCCCUCCACUCGCUCCCUGAACGCCCUCCUUUUUGCCUGCCUCGUCGCUGGCAACCAUGCCGAGGCCGCGCGCAUCUUCCAGACCUUCCCUGACGCUCACAACGUCAAGCCCAACACCGAGACCUUCAACGCCAUUAUAAAGUCCUUUUCUGAGUCCGGCACCACAAGGUCCUUCUACUCGGUGUUCGAUGAAAUGUGCAAGAAGGGCGUGAAGCCCAAUGCUACCACAUUUACUACCGCGAUUGCUGGAUUUUACAAGGAGGAGCAGUUUGGUGACGUGGAGAAGGUGAUUGAGCUCAUGAAGAAGCACGGAUGUGGUGAGUCACUACAAGUGUACAAUGCAAGGGUCCAGGGGCUGUGUAAACUUGGCCGGAGUGGCGAGGCAAAGGCAUUACUGAAUGAGAUGGUCAAGAGAGGGACGAAGCCAAGCUGGGUAACUUAUAACCAUCUGAUUUAUGGUUUCUGUAAGGAAGGGGAUUUGGAGGAAGUGAAGCGGCUAUACAAGGAGAUGGGAAAGAAGGGACUUGUUGGGGACAGUAGCUUCUAUUUUACCCUUAUCUUUUACCUUUGUAAGGCUGGUGAUUUUGAUUCAGCACUUGGGGUAUACAAUGAGACAACAGCUAGAAGUUGGGUGCCAUGCUUCUCGACAAUGAAGAUGCUUGUGAAUGGCCUUGCUGGGAGCUCAAAGGUCGAUGAAGCAAAAGGGAUCAUUGAGAAGAUGAAGGAGAAGUUCCCGGAUAAAGCUGAAGGAUGGAAGGAGGUAGAGGAGGCAUUACCUCAAUAGAAUAAUAGAUGGGCGAACUCACAGUGUGCAUUACAGAAGCUAUUCUAUCUGUGGAAGAAGUUGCAAUUUGACUUAUGGUAAAGUGGCGUGCUUCUGUAGGACCCUCAUGUACAUCAUGACCUCUACAGCAUGAAAGACUACUGUUAGUGACCCAAGUUUGUUGCGUUUUCAGAAUGUUUGUCGGUGCGUGCCAAGUUGAGAGCUGCGCUAGUAUUUGAUCAACUGUUCUGAGCAUGCGGAGCUUUGUGUCAGAUGUAUUUUUUUCUAUUGAAAAUAUGCUAAUCCCAGCUGCGGUAAGAUAUUGCCCAUCACAUUAUUGUUAAGGCAUUUGAAAAUACCAUAAUAUCCGAGGUAAGGCCAUCUACUUAAUACUUUGCGGA